GUGCCUGGUCCCGUUUUACUCGUUCGAUAAAAUUUUCGCCUUUUACUAAAGAUUUCCGUGGAGAGGAGCAAAACUGAGUUUUUUGGCAAUUUUUGCAUGCUCCAGCUUGCUGGGGCU